AGCCAGGAUGUUGGCUUAGAAGCAGCCAUCAUUUAAAGAAAGCGUAAUAGCUCACUGGUCGAGUCGGCCUGCGCGGAAGAUGUAACGGGGCUAAACCAUGCACCGAAGCUGCGGCAGCGACACUGUGUGUUGUUGGGUAGGGGAGCGUUCUGUAAGCCUGUGAAGGUGUGUCGUGAGGCAUGCUGGAGGUAUCAGAAGUGCGAAUGCUGACAUAAGUAACGAUAAAGCGGGUGAAAAGCCCGCUCGCCGGAAGACCAAGGGUUCCUGUCCAACGUUAAUCGGGGCAGGGUGAGUCGACCCCUAAGGCGAGGCCGAAAGGCGUAGUCGAUGGGAAACGGGUUAAUAUUCCCGUACUUGGUGUUACUGCGAAGGGGGGACGGAGAAGGCUAUGUUGGCCGGGCGACGGUUGUCCCGGUUUAAGCGUGUAGGUGUGUGUUCCAGGUAAAUCCGGUUCACUUUAACACUGAGGCGUGACGACGAGGCACUACGGUGCUGAAGCAACAAAUGCCCUGCUUCCAGGAAAAGCCUCUAAGCAUCAGGUAACAUCAAAUCGUACCCCAAACCGACACAGGUGGUCAGGUAGAGAAUACCAAGGCGCUUGAGAGAACUCGGGUGAAGGAACUAGGCAAAAUGGUGCCGUAACUUCGGGAGAAGGCACGCUGACACGUAGGUGAAGUGAUUUACUCAUGGAGCUGAAGUCAGUCGAAGAUACCAGCUGGCUGCAACUGUUUAUUAAAAACACAGCACUGUGCAAACACGAAAGUGGACGUAUACGGUGUGACGCCUGCCCGGUGCCGGAAGGUUAAUUGAUGGGGUCAGCGCAAGCGAAGCUCCUGAUCGAAGCCCCGGUAAACGGCGGCCGUAACUAUAACGGUCCUAAGGUAGCGAAAUUCCUUGUCGGGUAAGUUCCGACCUGCACGAAUGGCGUAAUGAUGGCCAGGCUGUCUCCACCCGAGACUCAGUGAAAUUGAACUCGCUGUGAAGAUGCAGUGUACCCGCGGCAAGACGGAAAGACCCCGUGAACCUUUACUAUAGCUUGACACUGAACAUUGAGCCUUGAUGUGUAGGAUAGGUGGGAGGCUUUGAAGUGUGGACGCCAGUCUGCAUGGAGCCGACCUUGAAAUACCACCCUUUAAUGUUUGAUGUUCUAACGUGGACCCGUUACCCGGGUUGCGGACAGUGUCUGGUGGGUAGUUUGACUGGGGCGGUCUCCUCCUAAAGAGUAACGGAGGAGCACGAAGGUUGGCUAAUCCUGGUCGGACAUCAGGAGGUUAGUGCAAUGGCAUAAGCCAGCUUGACUGCGAGCGUGACGGCGCGAGCAGGUGCGAAAGCAGGUCAUAGUGAUCCGGUGGUUCUGAAUGGAAGGGCCAUCGCUCAACGGAUAAAAGGUACUCCGGGGAUAACAGGCUGAUACCGCCCAAGAGUUCAUAUCGACGGCGGUGUUUGGCACCUCGAUGUCGGCUCAUCACAUCCUGGGGCUGAAGUAGGUCCCAAGGGUAUGGCUGUUCGCCAUUUAAAGUGGUACGCGAGCUGGGUUUAGAACGUCGUGAGACAGUUCGGUCCCUAUCUGCCGUGGGCGCUGGAGAACUGAGGGGGGCUGCUCCUAGUACGAGAGGACCGGAGUGGACGCAUCACUGGUGUUCGGGUUGUCAUGCCAAUGGCACUGCCCGGUAGCUAAAUGCGGAAGAGAUAAGUGCUGAAAGCAUCUAAGCACGAAACUUGCCCCGA
rnacentral:rRNA from 1 species